AUUGAACGCUGGCGGCAUGCCUUACACAUGCAAGUCGAACGGUAACGGGCCUUCGGGUGCCGACGAGUGGCGAACGGGUGAGUAAUACAUCGGAACGUGCCCGAUCGUGGGGGAUAACGAGGCGAAAGCUUUGCUAAUUCCGCAUACGAUCUACGGAUGAAAGCAGGGGACCGCAAGGCCUUGCGCGGACGGAGCGGCCGAUGGCAGAUUAGGUAGUUGGUGGGAUAAAAGCUUACCAAGCCGACGAUCUGUAGCUGGUCUGAGAGGAUGAUCAGCCACACUGGGACUGAGACACGGCCCAGACUCCUACGGGAGGCAGCAGUGGGGAAUUUUGGACAAAGGGCGCAAGCCUGAUCCAGCCAUGCCGCGUGCAGGAUGAAGGCCUUCGGGUUGUAAACUGCUUUUGUACGGAACGAAAAGCCUUCUUUUAAUACAGGAGGGUCAUGACGGUACCGUAAGAAUAAGCACCGGCUAACUACGUG
rnacentral:rRNA from 1 species